GCAUCAGGUAGGAUGACCUUUACCUGUUUCUCGAUUUAGAGGCAGAUAGAAUAUGACGACUGGAUAUCUAAUGAUUAGUGAUUAAUAUUUCUGCAUAAUUAGGCUCACAACACCCUAAUUGCUCCUAUCUGAU